rnacentral:rRNA from 1 species
CAGCAGCCACGGGAAUACGUAGGGUGCGAGCGUUAAUCGGAAUUACUGGGCGUAAAGCGUGCGCAGGCGGUUCGUUAAGACAGAUGUGAAAUCCCCGGGCUUAACCUGGGAACUGCAUUUGUGACUGGCGAGCUAGAGUAUGGCAGAGGGGGGUAGCAUUCCACGUGUAGCAGUGAAAUGCGUAGAGAUGUGGAGGAAUACCGAUGGCGAAGGCAGCCCCCUGGGCCAAUACUGACGCUCAUGCACGAAAGCGUGGGGAGCAAACGGGAUUAGAGACCCGAGUAGUCCCUGUCUCUUAUAC